GUUGUUGUGGCCGAGUGGUUAAGGCGAUGGACUGGAAAUCCAUAUGGGGUCUCCCCUCUCAUGUUCGAAUCCUGCUGACAACA